CCUACGGGAGGCAGCAGUGGGGGAUAUUGCACAAUGGGGGGAACCCUGAUGCAGCGACGCCGCGUGGGUGAAGAAGCGCCUAGGCGCGUAAAGCCCUGUCAGCAGGGAAGAAAAUGACGGUACCUGAAGAAGAAGCCCCGGCUAACUACGUGCCAGUAGCCGAGGUAAUACGUAGGGGGCAAGCGUUAUCCGGAUUUACUGGGUGUAAAGGGGGCGCAGGCGGGGAUGCAAGCCAGGAGUGAAAGCCCGGGGGCCAACCCCGGGACUGCUCUUGGAACUGCGGGGCUGGAGUGCAGGAGGGGUAGGCGGAAUGCCUGGUGUAGCGGUGAAAUGCGUAGAUAUCAGGAAGAACACCGGUGGCGAAGGCGGCCUGCUGGCCUGCAACUGACGUUGAGGCCCGAAAGCGUGGGGAGCAAACAGGAUUAGAUACCCGAGUAGUC
rnacentral:rRNA from 1 species